rnacentral:rRNA from 1 species
AUUGAACGCUGGCGGCAGGCCUAACACAUGCAAGUCGAGCGGAGCGGCGGACGGGGGAGUAAUGCCUAGGAAUCGGCAUGGUAGUGGGGGAGAACGUCAGGAAACGGGAGCAAAUAUCGCAUACUAUCAGUUUGGGCUAGGUCGGAUUCGCUAGAUGGAGGGGGAAAGGCCUACCAAGGCGACGAUCCGUAACCGGUCUGAGAGGAUGAUCAGUCACACUGGAACUGAGACACGGUCCAGACUCCUACGGGAGGCAGCAGUGGGGAAUAUUGGACAAUGGGCGAAAGCCUGAUCCAGCCAUGCCGCGUGUGUGAAGAAGGUCUUCGGAUUGUAAAGCACUUUAAGUUGGGAGGCGUUACCAACAGAAUAAGCACCGGCUAACUUCGUGCCAGCAGCCGCGGUAAUUC